rnacentral:rRNA from 1 species
UACGGAGGGUGCAAGCGUUGUUCGGAAUUAUUGGGCGUAAAGCGCGCGCAGGCGGUCUGAAAAGUCUAUGGGUGAAAUGCCGGGGCUCAACCCCGUGCAUGCCCAGGAUACUGUCAGACUGGAGACACGUAGAGGCAAGCGGAAUUCCGGGUGUAGCGGUGGAAUGCGUAGAGAUCCGGAAGAACACCGGAGGCGAAGGCGGCUUGCUGGGCGUGAUCUGACGCUGAGACACGAAAGCGUGGGUAGCAAACAGG